AAAAUACCCUUUAAGAAAUUUAAAGAAAUAUUAAAUUCCUUACUAAAACCUUGAUAAUUUCUUCAACACCGUUCUUCUUUUCCUCCUCUUUUUCUCUCUAUAUCACUUUCUCUCUCUAUAACUCUUGAAAGGUGGAAGAAUGGAAGUGUGGAGAAAAUGGGAGGAAGGGCUCGUAUUUAUAGAAAAUGGAAGCCAUUAGAUUUGCACCAAAUGGCCAAAUUUAGUGAAUAGAGAGAGAGUAAAAGAUGCUUGGCAUGAAAAAUGGAGGAAAAAACCCUCCCCCACCGGUGGCGGCACCACCACCAACAGCACGCCACCCGAGGUGGGUAGUAGCACACUUCCCAAGGUGGCAGUGGCCUUACCCACCCGGUAUGUGCGCUACAGGCCUAGUCUGCAGGUGUUGAGCUACCCUACCAUGUGCAAGUGCUAACCUGCGCGCUAGGUCGCUGCGCAUAAGCCUACUAUGUGCAGGCCCAAUGUGCGUAGGCCUGUCCGUGCAGGCCUACUGCAUAGAUGACAUGCGCGUAGUGUGCGACGUGUCUUACCUGCACGCAACAAGACAUGUGUGCAGGCCUUUCCUCCACACCACACGUGAUGGGAUGUGCGCACUGUUCGCACGUCCUGCAACUGUCGCGUGCACAUGCGCACAGGCACCAGCUCGGGCAACCCAUUUUCGCAGGAUUUUUUGG
rnacentral:lncRNA from 1 species